GCAGGGAUGACGGAGUGGUCAAUCGUAUCUGACUGUAAAUCAGACGGCUUUCAGCCUACGGGGGUUCAAAUCCCUCUCCCUGCACCA
rnacentral:tRNA from 1 species